rnacentral:lncRNA from 1 species
UUUCCUCAUUUCCCUUACAGAGGAUUUGUCACUAAUAUACAAAAAUGCCUUUGAUUUAUGGGUGUUGAUUUUGUAUUCUGCUACUUUGCUGAAUUUAUUUACUAGUUCUAGAAGUUUUCUGGUGGAAUUUUUUGAGUCUUCUAGGUAUAGAAUCAUAUCAUUGGCAAAUAGUGCUAAUUUGAGUUCUUCUUUUUCCUAUCUGUAUCCCUUUAAUUUCUUUCAUCUGUCUAAUUUCUCUGGCCAGUGUUAAAUAGAAGUGGUGAAAGAGGGCAUCCCUGUCUUGUUCCAAUUUUCAGAGGGAAAACUUUCAAUUUUUCUAUAUUUAGAAUGAUGUCGGUCUGGGGCUUAGCAUAGAUAGCUUUUACAAUGUUGAGAUGUUCCUGUUAUUCCUAGUUUUCUAGUGUUUUGAACAUGAAGGGAUGCUGCAUUUUGUCAAAUGAUUUUUCUGUAUCUAUUGAGAUGACAAUAUGGUUUUUAUGAUUAAGUCUAUUGAUGUGAUGAAUUACAUUUAUUGAUUUCUAUAUGUUGAAACAACCUUGCAUCCCUGGGAUGAACCCCACUUGAUCAUGGUGCACUGUCUUUUUGAUAUGUGUUUGUAUUCGAUUUGCCAGAAUUUUUGCAUCUAAGUUCAUUAGAGAUAUUGUUCUGAAGUUUUUUUUCUUUGAUAUGUCUUUGUCUGCUUUGGAAUCAGGAGUGACAUUGGCCUCAUAGAAUGAGUUUGGAAGUGCUCCCUCUUUUUCUAUCUCCUGAAAUAAAUUGAAGAGCAUUGGUAUUAGUUCUUCUUUGAAGGUCUUGUAGAACUCUGCUGUGUGUCCAUCUGGUUCUGGGCUUUUCUUGGUUGGUAAGCUUCUGAUGGCAUCUUCUAUUUCAUCACUUGAUAUUGGUCUGUUUAAAUUGUGUAUAUCGUCCUGAUUCAACUUGGGGAAAUCAUAUGACCCUAGAAAUUUGUCAAUGCCUUCAAUAUUUUCUAUUUUAUUGGAGUAUAAAUUUUCAAAAUAAUUUCUAAUUAUCUUCUGUAUUUCUCAAGUUUUUCCUGUGAUAUUUACUUUUUCAUUAUAUAUUUUAAUAAUUUGAGUUUUCUCUCCCUCUCAUUGUUAGCAUGGCUAAGGGUUUGUCAAUUUUAUUUAUUUUUUUCAAACAACCAACUUUUUAUUCUGUCAAAUUUUCAAUUGUUUAUUUUGUUUCAACUUCACUGAUUUCAGCUCUGAUUUUAAAUAUUUCUGCUUUUGGUGUUGAUUUGUUAUUCUUUUUUCUAGGGAUUUGAGAUGUAAAGUGAUUUAUUUGUUGACUUUUUCUUCUUUUAAGGAAUGAACUCCAUGCAAUGAACUUUCCUCUUAGUACUGCCUUCAUAGUGUCCUAGAGAUUUCAAUAUGUUGUAUCUGUGUUCUCAUUCACCUCUAAGUAUUUUUAAAUAUCCUCCUUUAUAUCUUUUGCAGCCCAUUGUUCAUUCAGUAGCAUAUUAUUUAGUCUCCAGGUGUUGGAGUAGCUUUUAUUUUUUAUUUUAUCAUUGAUUUCUAAUUUUAUUCCAUUAUAAUUUGAAAGAAUGCAGGGUAGUAUCUCUCCUUUUUAAUAUUUGCUAAAAGUUGCUUUGUAGCAUAAUUUAGGGUCUAUUUUAGAUAAGGAUCCAUGUGCUGCUGAAAAUAAAGUGUAUUUGUUCAUUGUAGGAUGAAAUAUUUUAUAUUUGUCAGUUUAGUCUAAGUUAUUGAUUCUAUUAGUAAGUUCUAUAGUUUCUUUGUUCAGCUUUUGUUUGGACUAUCUAUGCAGUGGUGAAACAGGUGUGUUAAAGUUACCCAGAAUAUUGUGUUGUGGUCUAUUUGACUCUUGAACUUGAGAAAAGUUUGAUGAAUGUAGAUGCUCUAUUGUUUGGGACAUAUAAAUUUAUUAUUAUUAUAUCUUGUUGAUGAAUGGUUCCCUUAAGCAGUAUGAAAUACCCUUCCUUAUCCCUUUUGAUUAACAUUGGCUUGAAGUCUUCUUUAUUUGAUACAAGGAUGGAAACCCCUCCAUGCUUCCACAGUCCAUGUGAGUGGUAUGACUGUUCCCAACCUUUCACCUUCAGUCUGUGGAUAUUUCUUAUGAAAUGAGUCUCUUGGAGGCAGCAUAUUGUUGGGUCUUUUUUUGUAAUCCAAUAUGCCAGUCUAUGUUUUGAUUGGUGAGUUUAUGACAUUAACAUUCAUGGUUAUUGAGACAUGAUUUGUAGUCCCAGCCAUUUUUGUUUAUUUUUGAUAUUUAACUUCACUUGGUUUCUCCUUUGAUUAGUUUUUCCUAUAGUGUAAUACCUCCCUUUUCUGAUUUUCUUUGUUGUUUUUCAAUUCCUCUUCAUGGAAUAUUUUGCCGAGGAUGUUCUAUAGUGCAGCCUUUUGAGUUGUAAAUUCUUUUAACUUUUGUUUAUCAUGGAAGUUUUUAUUUCAUCAUCAAAUUUAAAGCUUAAUUUUGCUGGAUAUAAGAUUCUUGGUUGGCAUCCAUUUUCUUUCAGAGCUUUGAUAUAUGUUCUUCCAGGAUCUUUUAGCUUUCAGGGUCUGGGUUGAAAAAUCUGCACAUAAUCUAAUUGGUUUCCCCCUAUAUGUGAUCUGAUUCUUUUGUCUUGUGGCUUUUAAUAUCCCCUCCCUAUUCUAUAAGUUAGGCAUUUUCAUUAUAAUGUGCCUUGGUGUGGAUCUCUUGUGAUUUUGUAUAUCUGGCAUCCUGUUAGCCUCCUGAAUUUGGUUUUCCAAUUCAUUCUUCAUGUUUGGAAAAUUUUCUGAUAUUAUUUCAUUGAAUAGGUUGUUCAUCCCUUUGGUUUGGAACUCUAUGCCUUCCUCUAUCCUCACAACUCUUAAAGUUGGUCUUUUCAUGCUAUUCCAUAUUUCUUGAAUGUUCUGCUCAUGGUUUCUUACCAUUUUCACACUGUGGUCUACAUUCUUUUCAAGAUUAUAUAUUUUGUCUUCAUUGUCUAAGGUCCUGUCUUCUAAGUGGUCUAAUCUGUUGGUGAUGCUUUCAAUUGAUUUAAAAAUUUUUUUUCUUUCAGUUCAAGGAUUUCUGUGUGUGUGUGUGUGUGUGUGUGUGUACUUGUAGAAUCUCUAUUUCCCUAUUGAAGUAAACUUUUGCUUCCUGUAUUUGUUUAUGUAGCUCAUUGUCAAAAUGAUCUUUUGUUGCCUCUAUUUGCUCUCUUAUAUCAUCCUUUAAUUCACAGAACAUUUUAAUUAUGUACAUUCUGAACUCCUUUUAUGUCAUUUCUCUUGCUGUGCUGGACGUGGAUUCUAAUAAUGUUGUAUCUUGAUUUGUUUGGGGCACUUUCUUUCCUUGUCUUUUCAUAUUGCUUGUGUGUCUUCCCUUCUAGCACUGUGAAUCCAAGGUGUUACCUUUUUUACCCUAUAGGUUUAUAGAGCCCCUGUAAAGAUCCAAUACCUUUCCUUUGAAGUGAAGGACAGUGUUAUCAGAUCCCAAUAUAAAUAAUAUACACUCUAAAAAUAAAUGUUUGCUAUUAAGACAUUUACAGUUUGGUUACAAUGUACAGAAAUGGUGAAUUCAAUUAUUAUCUACAAUAUACUCAGUAGGUUUGUAAAAGGGUUUACAGUUUUUGAUGGUGGACAAAGAACUGGGGGUGAGGAGUAGGAUGAUAUGCUGAGGAGGUAGAAAGUGAGAAUAUAGAGUUAUUAUAUCUUAGGAAAUGUGAAAAUGAAAUCUAAAGAGGAAGAUUAGUACAGGAAGAGAGAGAGGAAGUAAUUUGGGGUAGACAAGUAAGUGGAAAGACAGUAGAGUACAUAAAACACACACACAUAUACAUUAAGAAAAAUAAAAAAAUGUUAAAAUAGUACAAAUUUGUUGAGAGUCACAUAUAUCAGAUUAACUAUCUAUUUUAAGUUUAUUAAAACAUCAUGGUUAAGGAAAUAUGAUGGUCAAUUUUGGCCAAAAUGGAAAUGGAUAUAUUUUAUUUGAUAUAUGUAUUUUUAUGUGAUAUAUAUAUAUAUAUAUAUAUAUAUAUAUAUAUAUAUAUAUUUUGUUUUUUUUUUUGUGGUACUGGGGACUGAGGCUAAGAGUGCUCUACCACUGAACUAUAUUCUUAGCCCUUUUUAUAUUUUAUUUUAAGAAAGGGUCUUGCUCAGUUACCGUAGGCUGACCUCAAACUUGUGAUCCUCCUUCCUUGGUCUGUAAAUACAUGUUGAUAAAUGUCUAUAUUUAUCAACAAGGUAUAGGGUGAGCACAAGCAGGAAGUAGGUUUGGAAUGUCUAUAGCUCUCUCUCUCCCUCUCUUUCUCUCUGACUGUUCAUCUCACUACACCCCUUAGAACAGCUCUACGUGUUCUGUGACAGAGAUACCAAGAUCCCCCAUCUUCUUGAAUUACAUCCUGGAGAGGAUGCUUAGAUAUAAAAUCAGACAGUUUCUAUAUCACAUGCAAAGUGCUAGGAUAGUAGGGUAAACAGGUACCUGAGAGAACCAAAGGGAGAAAUUUAGAUCAAGAUGGAGGGUGCCAGAAGCCUGCCUUUGUUUUGAAGAUGAAAACCCGGCAGGUGAAGAUAUGAGGGACACUGCAUGAUCCACCAGGACCCUGAGCCACUCAACAGCACCAACAAGUCGUGAGCCCAAGUUUGUUGAACUCCGCUAUGUUCUAGGCAUUAUGCUGCAUUCUCCUGUAUUUCAUUUGUGCUUCACAAACACCCCUGAGGAAUCAUUUCCAUUUCAUGGCAAGAGGAAGCUGUAGCAUGGGUAGUCUGAGACUUGCCUCAGGUGAUGUGGCUCUGCCAGCUUUUAAACACUCCAUGUGGACAAAGUGUCAGGUUUGAGGUCAGAUCUCAGGAAGAUGGGCUGGAGCUGCCCGCAGGGACCCAAUGUCAGGGAGAGUGAAGAGUUAAGGAAAGGGGAGGGUGUGAAGCUGGGAUAGUGAGCUUUUUGGAUUCUUCUGUGGGGAACAUGGGUGAAGGGGGUGAGCCUGGAACAGGGAAUCAGUUAGGAGCCUUCUCAAGUUGGCCUGAGGGCUUCCAGGGGUUCUUAUUCUUGCAUUCUUCCCACAGGGAGGGUAUGCAAGGAGCUAAGGACAAGACCAAGAACGGCACUCCCAAGUGCGAUGGUAGACCUUCCCCCUGGCUGAAUUAUUGAUCACCCUGCAUCUGUUUUCUCACAGCUUCUAGAGUAUUCCAUUUCCCACUUGUGUGUUAUUUCCUAAGAGGUGCAUACUGGGUUCAUUUGCUCCUGCUUAGGGAGUGUCUCCUGAGUUGAUCUCUUGGAGAUCAACUAAUUUGAGGACCAACACUGCUGCCACUGGCAGUGGGUACACCUGGAAGUUCCCUAGGUGCUUGGGUGUUCUAGCAAACACAACAGUCCCCACCUAUCUGAAGUUUUGCUUUCCAUGGUUUCAAUGGUGUUCUGAAAAUAUGAAAUGGAUUCUGUGGUCUUAUUACCCUGAACGUGCCCGAUCUUGUCUGAAAAUAUUAAGUGGAAAAUUCCAUAAAGAAAGAUUUAAUAAAUUAUUUAAAACUGAUUACAGAAUGCUGUUGUAAUUGCUGUAUUUUAUGAAUUGUUAUUGUUGCUCUCUUACUGUAUCUGCUUUAUAAGGGAAACUUUAUCAGACAAAUGUAUGCAUAGAAGGAAACAGGGAGAGCUGGUAUUAUUUGAAGUUUGAGGCAUCCACUGGAGUCUUGGCAUGUAUCCCUUCUGGAUAAAAGGAAACUAUUGUGCAACACUUGCUUAGUUAUUUAUUCCUUAUUACUUAUUUGUUCUUCUCUCCCCAUCCAGUUUCCUUCUCCUGAAGAUCUCCAUUAAGAAAGCUGCAAGUUUUAGGGGAAUAAUAUCUGUGAUGUCUGGCCACUGAUUCUCAAGGUUAGUUUCAAAUGAGCACCGAGAAAGACGUGAGACAUCCUUGGAUCUUUGCAGUGCCUGCUGCCCAUGAAAAUGUUCUUCAGGUGCAAAAGGACACGUAGGCUCUGUCACAAAUCUUGCCUCCAGUCUCCUCACCCUCCCAUGUUUCAUGGUUCCCCCUAACACUCCUGAUUCUGAUAUUUUGCUUCAAUGUUCAUUUCCCAUCUGUCUCCUAUUACUAGAAGGAAAGCCCCCAGAGAAUAUCAGUUUUCUCUAUUUGCUUUCUGUUAUAGACUGUGCCUGGCACAUAGUAGGCCCUCAAUUAAUAUUUGUUGAAUAAAUGAAUGGAUGAAA